rnacentral:rRNA from 1 species
UACGGAGGGAGCUAGCGUUGUUCGGAAUUACUGGGCGUAAAGCGCACGUAGGCGGCAUACCAAGUCAGGGGUGAAAUCCCGGGGCUCAACCCCGGAACUGCCCUUGAAACUGGUAAGCUAGAAUCCUGGAGAGGCGAGUGGAAUUCCGAGUGUAGAGGUGAAAUUCGUAGAUAUUCGGAAGAACACCAGUGGCGAAGGCGACUCGCUGGACAGGUAUUGACGCUGAGGUGCGAAAGCGUGGGGAGCAAACAGG